UACGUAGGGUGCAAGCGUUAAUCGGAAUUACUGGGCGUAAAGCGUGCGCAGGCGGUUUGUAAGUCUGAUGUGAAAUCCCCGGGCUCAACCUGGGAAUUGCAUUGGAGACUGCAAGGCUAGAAUCUGGCAGAGGGGGUAGAAUCCACGUGUAGCAGUGAAUGCGUAGAGAUGUGGAGGAACACCGAUGGCGAAGGCAGCCCCUGGGUCAAGAUGACGCUCAUGCACGAAAGGCGUGGGAGCAAACAGGA
rnacentral:rRNA from 1 species